CACGCUAACGGUGAACCAAGAAAAUCCAAGAAAACUCUUCAUCGUUUCCCAGUUUUAUCUUGUUCCCCCCUUUCUCUUCCUGUUAUCCUUCUUCAAUCACCAUGAUUGUAGAUAGUUGAAUCCUGGUUUCCCCUUGUGGUUGUUUGAUUACACCUUCUGGUGAUUGUUUUCCCUAAGCUUGUCUCUUCCUCUUUUUUCUCCUUCCAUACCUCUUCUUCCUCCUUUCAUUCCUAUCUUUUCCUCUUUCCUUUUUUCCUCUGCUUCCUGUCAUAUUCAAUCCUGUUUCUUUUAUAUCUUCUCACAAUGUCUUCUUCUCAUGGCAAAAGUGUUAUCUCUAACACUGACAAUCCAGGAACUACUAGUAUAAGUACAUCAAUUAACAUGCGCCCUCUCAAGAUCCAGAAAUUACAACUUCCCACCUCAUCUCAAUUUGAAUUUGGUUAUAAUCCCAACUACAUAUCUGAAGAAGGUCCAAGUGGUGCUUCUCAAUACAACAAUCAAGAACAGCCAGAACCUGCACAAAAUCACAAUGAUCACAAUCAAGAUUCCAACUUCACUGAGGAAAACACAACGGAUCCUUUUUGUUAUUAUCAAGAAUCUUAUGUACAGGAAAGUAUUAAUCAGUGUAAACACAGCAUCAUUGGGAAAAUUUUAGCAGAUAAACCUAUCUCUACUCAGGUUCUUUUCAAUUCUUUAUCUGGUAUAUGGUGUAACCCAAUUGGCCUCAAGAUCACUGAAUUAGAGGGCAAGAUUCUUCAAAUUAGAAUGGACAAAGAAGAAGACAUGCAGAGAAUUCUCAAAGGCAACCCCUGGAUAUUCAGAAAUUGUUGGCUUCUUCUUCACAGCUAGAAUAGAAAACUGGAUAUAUCUACACUGGAUUUUUCCCAAAUCCCUCUAUGGAUUCAAUUCUGGGGUCUCCCUCUACAUUGUAAGUCUAUUCAAAUGGGGCAAGAAAUGGGAUCCCAACUUGGGCAAGUGAUGGAUGUUGGUCUGUAUGAGUUCCCAGAAAAAGCAAAAAUUGUUAAAGUCAAGGAACUGGUUAAUAUCAAGGACCCUAUUAGGACUGACAUGUUUAUAUGUUUAUAGGUAAUGAUGAAGAUGGUAUAAACUGGGUGGAUUUUAGGUUUGAAAAUUUUCCCAUGUUCUGCUUUGGAUGUGGUCUAAUUGGACACAAUAUGGAGAGUUGCAGAAAUCCUCCUAUCCCUAUUAUAGGAGGGACCAACCCUAGAGGUGCAUGGCUGAGAUCCAGGAACUAUGGUCACAGGAUCUAUGAAAGGAAGGAGAAAACCUUUAGCAUCAAUUUCUUGAAGUCAAUUAGUGGUGGCCAGUUCAGUCCCUUACCGAAAGGUUUACUUGACAAAAUGGCUGCUAUUAACCUCACCAGAACAAGCCCUCAAUCUACUGGACAGUACCCCUCCCAACACACAACUCAAUUUGGUAAUAUCAAAUUCUCUGAUCCCAGAAACUUCAACAAACAGAUGGCUAUGGAGGUCCAACACAUACACACAGCCACAUCAAAUACUCAAGGAAAAGCUAAUUCUAAUGACAAAAAAAUUGCUAAAAGGAAAUUGGGAUACAAUGGAAAAUCUGAAGUUUCACAAGAGAAGGAAAUGCUACCUAACAAUGAUAUGGCAGGCCUUGCUGAAAAGGCCAACCAACUCCAAUGAGAUGCAUUUCAUGGAACUGCAGAGGGCUUGGAAACCCCUCUGCAGUUAGGGCUCUUAAGAAACUUUUAAGAGCUAAGAACCCAGACAUAGUCUUCUUAAUGAAGACUAGUAUCACUAAACUUCACUACACUCUUGAUCAGCUUCAUAGAUGGAGUAGAGACAAAUUUGGAGAUGUCCCUUCAAAAAUCAGAAUGCUACAGAAUACCUUGGAAGCACUUAAGAAGGGCAUCCCCACUAAAGAUUGUAUUUUAAAGAUCAAACAGCUAGAGGUUGACUUGGAUGAUCUUCUCAAGCAAGAAGAAUUAUGGUGGGCUCAGAGAGCCAAAGUGCACUGGCUUAAACAUGGAGAUCUGAAUACAAAAUAUUUCCAUCACAAGGCCAGCCAAAGAAAAAGGAAGAAUUAUAUCUCUAAUAUUCAAGAUCAGUCUGGCAAUUUCUGGCAGGAUAGUAACAAAAUUCACUCUAUCUUUUCUAAUCAUUUCCAAAAUAUUUUUUCUAGUUCCCAUUAUAAUGAUAAUAGUAAUGUUUAUGAAGCAGUUAAGAAUAGAGUUAAUAGUUAGGACUUCAAUUAUCUAAACUCCCCUUUCUCACCCCAAGAAGUGAUAGAAGCCAUCAAAAAUCUAAAAGCUAACUCAGCACCUGAACCUGAUGGCUUUACUGCACUUUUCUAUCAAAAAUAUUGGAGUACUAUAGGCCCUGACAUACUUGACUUUGUGCUUAAUAUUCUUAACAAUGAUGGGGAUACCAAAACUAUCAAUCACACUUACAUCAGUCUUAUUCCUAAAGUUUUUUCUCCUACCAAACCUGAGGAUUAUAGACCUAUUAGUUUAUGUAAUGUCUUACUCAAAAUUAUUACUAAGACUUUGGCAAACAUGAUCAAUCAAAUUCUUCCUAACAUUAUUCAUGAAAAUCAAAGUGCUUUUCUCCCUGGUAGACUUAUUACUGAUAACUCCUUAAUUGUUUUUGAAACUCUUAAUUACAUUAACAAAACCAGGAAGAAAAAUAAAGGAUUUGUUGGAAUUAAGCUUGAUAUAGCCAAAGCUUAUGAUAGUCUUGAAUGACAUUUUAUUCAAAAUACUCUUAAUUUUAUGGGCUUCCCCCCUAAACUCAUUAACACUAUCAUGCAAUGCAUCAAUUCUGUUACUUUUUCUAUACUUAUCAAUGGACAUCCAACUGAUCCUUUUCAACCUCAGAGAGGCAUAAGAUAAGGGGACCCUCUGUCACCCUACAUUUUCAUUAUUUGUGCUGAAAUCCUAUCUGGUUUGAUUGAAAAGGAUCAGAAAAAUGGUCUCAUCACUGGCGUGUCUAUUGCUACUAAUGCUCCAACUAUUUCCCAUUUAUUGUAUGUUGAUGAUAGUAUUCUUUUUUGUAAAGCUAAACUUGAGGAAGCCAAUGCUAUCAUGAGGACUCUACAGGUCUACCAAGCAGCCUCUGGCCAAAAGGUCAACAUGGACAAAUCUGAGAUUAUAUUUAGUCCUAAUAUCUCUAUGGAUUCCAAAAAGGAAUUUCAAGCUAAUCUCCCUAUCAAAAUUAGCAAUAACAUUCAGAAGUAUUUGGGGAUGCCAACCCACCUUGGCAUGUCUAAAGAGCAAGAUUUUCAAUUUCUAAUGGAUAGAGUUUGGAACAAGUUGAAGGGUUGGAAGGAAAAAAGCCUCUCUUUUGAAGGCAGAGGAAUCCUUAUAAGAGCAGUGGCACAAGCAAUAUCUACCUAUAUCAUGAGUUGUUUUCUCCUUCCUAAGGGUCUUUGUGACAAGAUUGAGAAGGCUGUUUGUGCCUUCUGGUGGGGAAGCACUGACAAUAAGAGGAAGAUUCACUGGACCAAAAAAGAAAACCUAUUUAAAUCAAAAUUAGAAGGGGGAAUGGGAUUCAAUAUAUUGAGAGACUUCAACUUAGCUAUGUUGGCUAAACAAGACUGGAGGUUUCAUACUGAACCUAAUUCUCUCAUUUCUAGAUGCUAUAAAGCCAAGUACUACCCCCAUUGCAAUGUUCUUCAGGCUACUAUUGGCAAUAACCCAAGCUAUGCUUGGAGGAGCAUUUUUAAUGCAUUAUGGAUCAUCAAAAAAGGAUCUUGUUGGAGGAUUGGCAAUGGUCAAGAGGUAAAUAUUUGGGAGGACAAUUAGAUUCCCUCCAAUAUUGGUUUCAAACCUAUUUCUUCAAAUAGUGGCUCUACUUCAGUUAGAUUGGUCAAGGACCUGAUCAUGGUUAAUAGCUCAACCUGGAACUCUGAGCUUCUUAAUAACCAAUUCCUUGGAAUUGACACUGAAGCCAUUGAACAGAUUCCCAUUAUUGACAUUUUCCAUAGGGACACUCUUAUGUGGAUGUUUGAGAAAACUGGCAGCUACACGGUCAAGAGUGGUUACACAGCUAUUCAGAUUUGGAAAAAUGGUUCUCAGAACUCUCCAAGUUCAAGCUCUGAAAACACUAAAUUAUGGAAGAAAAUCUGGAAUCUACACACUAUUCCUAGACAUAAAACUAUUUUAUGGAGAAUUCUGAAUAACUCCAUUCCUCUCAGAAGUGAACUAGGUAAAAGAGGAGUGUUGUGCUCCCCACUGUGCCCUAGAUGUGAAACUAAGAUUGAGACAACAGACCAUAUUUUUAUGCACUGCCCUAAUAUCUCCAAAAUUUGGUUUAGGUCUAAUCUUAACCUUAAAACUUUGGAUCUACCCAUACCAAGUUUCAGAGACUGGCUUAUGCAUUCCAUUCUCACGCUCAAAGAAGAUACGAUAAUACAGAUAGCCUCUAUAACUUAUAACAUUUGGCAAGCUCGUAAUCAGAGCAUAUAUGAACACAUGUAUAAACCUGAAGCAGACAUAAUACAGAGAUCAGAUCGUUGCGUUUCUGACUUUCUCCAAGCUCAGCUCAGCGACACGGUGGAUAAUCUGAAUCAUGACAUCAGCUAUUCCAAUGCUCCUCACCAAAGC
rnacentral:lncRNA from 1 species